rnacentral:tRNA from 1 species
GCUGGUGUGGCUCAGUGGAUAGAGUGUCAGAUUGUGGACUGAAGGUCCUGGGUUCAAUUCCUGUCAAGGGCA